AGUGAUAAAAGUGAGAUCACAAGGACAGUGGCUCCCAGCCCCUCCCAGAAUCCAUGUCCAAAGAGGCACUUGACCUGAAAACCCCAUGAUGGGGAGAGGGGAGAACAUUGGACACUCCAGCAGAACUUGGCUGAGCAGAUGGUAAUGGCCAGUGUUCACUCUGUGACCCCAGAGCCUUAAAGAGACCCAGAGCAUCUCACCCCCAAGACAGCCAGAAUAAAGUUGGCUGUGAGUGCACUCCAGGUGGGGGCUGGGCUCCUGUGUGAGCACAGGCUGGAUGGAAGCCAAGAGAAGCCAGAAGUCCCCUGGAUCUUGGCAAAGCAUUCAAUGUUUACGUGCAAACGGGAAACAGUCCCCUAACUCACCGCCCCCCAUGUUGCUCUGUGCUAACCGAUCUGAUUGGAAAGAACAGAGGUCUCUGUGGCUGCUUUGGGCUCCGGAGUUCAGAUGAAUCGGGCGACACAGACUUCUCGUGGGUAUUUGACAACGGCAGCUCUGGCAUGGAAUCUGUUCUGGAUCCACGGAAGGAGAAGGCUUGAGGAAAUGAAUUCAAGAUUCCUAUGCCAAGAAAAAGGUGGAAACUCCCUGCCCCACACUCCAACCUGAAACACGAAACCCUGGGCUGUGUUUCCAUUUUGAUUGUUC